AGUGAACGCUGGCGGUAGGCCUAACACAUGCAAGUCGAACGGCAGCACAGUAAGAGCUUGCUCUUACGGGUGGCGAGUGGCGGACGGGUGAGGAAUACAUCGGAAUCUACUUUUUCGUGGGGGAUAACGUAGGGAAACUUACGCUAAUACCGCAUACGACCUACGGGUGAAAGCAGAGGAUCUUCGGACCUUGCGCGAUUGAAUGAGUCGAUGUCGGAUUAGCUAGUUGGCGGGGUAAAGGCCCACCAAGGCGACGAUCCGUAGCUGGUCUGAGAGGAUGAUCAGCCACACUGGAACUGAGACACGGUCCAGACUCCUACGGGAGGCAGCAGUGGGGAAUAUUGGACAAUGGGCGCAAGCCUGAUCCAGCCAUACCGCGUGGGUGAAGAAGGCCUUCGGGUCGUAAAGCCCUUUUGUUGGGAAAGAACAGCAGCAGGUUAAUACCCCGCUGUUCUGACGGUACCCAAAGAAUAAGCACCGGCUAACUUCGUG
rnacentral:rRNA from 1 species